CAAAGAGAAUCCCUCCCAGCUCUGCUUGGACAAAACAAUUUGUCAGAUCCAGGGGGCCUAGGAGAGGGGACACACUUGGGCAGGAGCCAGGAGGAUCUUCUGCGCGGGGCUUCAGGGCACAAGCAUAUAUAGGAAUUUUGUUACCGAAAUCUGCAGUCAAAUUCAUUUCAGAAGCUCCCCAUUGUGCUCCUUUCCAUCAGAGAGGCAAACAAACCUGCCCAGCUCAGCGAGCCACUGCACUGCUUCCUGCUCGCCAUGACUAACACAGUAACACCAGAAGGAAGUUUAAAAUAAUUUUGUUAGCAUUUGGAGCACGAGACACACUGUGUUGCUAUGGAGUACAAGAAAAACCUGAAGUCAGUGCUGACUGGGACUGAAUAAUGGGAUUUCCAUUUCUAAGCUGAAGAAGCAGAUGAAUAGCAUGAAUAAACAAGCAAGUCAGAAAAAAACCAAACACUCAUCUUGUGGAUGAUCAUGGAAAAUAGGGAUGAAAAGGGAUCUCAAGAAGUCAUCUAUACCAUCCCACUCUCUACAGAUGGAUAAAUUUUAUCUCUGUC